AAACAUCCAUAAACCAAUGUUUAUAGUUGUAUACCCAUAGUCGUAAUCAUAAAGUACAAUAAUUAUAAACUACCAUUGUCGUGAUCGUAGUAAAAAGUUUGUAGUAAUCGUAAGAAAAAUUGUACUAUGAAAUUACUAAUUGAAUAUUAUAGCUUGCAUUUGUAAGAGUUUAAAAAUUCGACCACUGAUGCUUCACCUCUUGAGGCGCUUGUUGAAGUCAAAAUUUGAACGUCUGCUCCAUUUCCUCUUGGCAAAUGCAUC
rnacentral:lncRNA from 1 species